rnacentral:lncRNA from 1 species
GAUGAGGUACUUUCCGUUUUAGUCUGUUCCAAAAUAAAUGACACAUUUCUUAAUUUAAAAAUAAUUCAAUUUUAAACUCUUCAUUUUACCCUCAAUGAGAAACUUUUAUAAUCACACAAAUGUUGUGGCCCCACAAAGCUUUUACCCCUAAAGCUUUUAAGACCACAAGUUUCAGAAGUCUUCUUUUUUUUCCUUAAACUCUGUGCCGAGUCAAACUACCUCAUCUAAAUUGAAACGGAGGGAGUAGUAUGCAAGCCGUAGAAACAUCCACAUAUUAUCAGAUUACCUCAAACAUCAUGCUCAAGAGUCCAGCUAUUGCGGCUUUCGGGUAUUUCUCAUAGUGUUCCACCCAAUGCUUGACCACUAGAGGAAUUAGUCUCCUAUCACCUUU